rnacentral:rRNA from 1 species
CAGUAGCCGCGGUAAUACGUAGGGUGCAAGCGUUAAUCGGAAUUACUGGGCGUAAAGCGUGCGCAGGCGGUUUGUUAAGACAGAUGUGAAAUCCCCGGGCUCAACCUGGGAACUGCAUUUGUGACUGGCAAGCUAGAGUCUGGCAGAGGGGGGUGGAAUUCCGCGUGUAGCAGUGAAAUGCGUAGAUAUGCGGAGGAACACCGAUGGCGAAGGCAGCCCCCUGGGCCAACACUGACGCUCAUGCACGAAAGCGUGGGGAGCAAACAGGAUUAGAUACCCCAGUAGUCCCUGUCUCUUAUAC